GAGGAGGAGGAUGAUGACUGGGGG
rnacentral:piRNA from 1 species